CCACUUUGGUUGAGGGACCGUUGUUUUGCUGAGGGUUGGGUGCUGGUACAGACUGGUAUGGGAUUCUGGCAUGCUUUUAUCGAGGAAUGUUGACACACAUCUGCUUAAAAUCAUUUAAGUUUAUCAUCUCGACUGACUCAUAGGGCAGCAUACACAGAAAAGCGAGAGGAUGAGCCAUUUAAUGUGGUAUCAUGAAAGGAAGAUCAACUUCUUAAUGAAAAAAAGCUGAAAUGGGAGAGGGAGGCGAGUACAUGAAGAGCACUUCCAGGCUUACAUAAGUAACAUUCCCGCUGCAUAAACAUCUUGGCAAACCCAGAGACUAAAUCCCCAUCCCACACUGCUGGCCUGAACCAAACACUGUAUAAUAUUUUUUAAAAAAUCCUGUUGAUGGUAACAUUUUUCUGUCCAGAAACAAGUCAUUAGUUUGGACAAAAGAAUCCAAAUGCAUCUGCUUCGUUCCCCAAAGUUCUAGUGGAAAAUAUUAUCUAGAGAAAAAGCAAAAGAGGAAUAAGAGUGGAGAAUUAUGAUUUCUUAAGAGUGAAACAGAGAGAUGGCAGUUAAAAUCUCUGAAGUUCCUCUCAGUACAAAAUUACGAACCCCAAAUUAAAUUAAUCCAUCCCCACUUGGCAAAUGCCAAGCAGAGUCCAAAACAAGUCAUUUUUAGUGACCCAAAUUGAACCUUUACAUAUUUACCUAACUUCUGCAUUGACAUGAAAUUUAAAUAUGCAGUUGGUGGCUUGGAGUCCCCAGCUCUACUGUGAUGUGUACAUACCAAUGUAUUCAUACAAAAUUUUGUUCCAAGGAAAGAAAGAUUUUAGAGAAUGCUACCUGUUUCACAACAUAUCAAUGACAUUCAGACUCCAAAAAGAUUUAAUGCAAGUUGGGAGAACUAUUUCUUCUUUUUAAGUAUUUAAAUCAUAGAAACAAAGUAAUAUGCCAGUAAGACCAGUAUCCACGGUCCCUGAGCUACAAAGAAUAUUUGCAUUUCUUUCUUCAAUUUCUGCAGGUCAUAACUCACUAGAAAUGGCCCCUUUUCUUCAGAAAGUUGGAAUAGACCAAUUAUCAUAGAAGUAAUAGAGAAAGCAGUUAGAGCCCUCCCUCAGCACCCAAAAAACAGCAUUAAGCCCAAAUCAUUUCUCAGGACAAUUCUAGCAAACUUUAAAAAUCAGAUAUUUCCUGUGUUACUUAAACUAUUUUAUAGCAUAGAAAUAGAGGGAAGAGUUCCAAUUAUUGCCAAGAAUAUCAUCAAUUUGAAAAUCUGAUAAGAUUUUAUAAAAAAUUAAAACUACAAACCAAUCUCACUAAUAUUGAUAUGAAAAUGUUAAAGAAAAAUCUAAGCAAACAGAAUCCAAAGGUAGUACAUAAUGAGCAAAUAGAGUUUAUUCCAGGAAUGUCAGUGUGGUUCAAUACAGGAAAUCCAGGAAUUCUAUCUAAUCUAUCAUAUUCAUAGAGCUAAGGAUAAAAAUCAUGUGAUAGUCUCCAAAGAUGCAGAAAAGACAUUUGAGAAAUGCAGCACUCAUUCAUACUAAAAAUACUUUCUCAUUGAAGUCAGAGCCAAGACAAAGAUGUCCACAACCACCAAUACUAUAUGUUUGUGAAAACAAUGAAAUAAGGAAAUAUUUAGAAGCAGAAUAAUUUGAAAAGAAACAAUAACAAAAAAGAUAACUGUUUAUAGAUAAUAUGAUAAUACACUGGGAAGACCCAAAAGAAUCUAUGGAAAAACUAACAUAAACAAUAACAAAAUUCAAAAGUAAAAUCAAUAAGCAAGAGCAAUGGCCUACAUAUCUAGAAAGAAAAGCCAUUUGAAAGCACAAUGAAAGAGAUUUCAUUCAUGAUAAAGAGUAAAAGAAAACUGCCACAAUGAACUUCAUGAGAAAUGUCCAGAUGUCCUCACGAAAAAUAUAAAAUUUUUGUGAGAGACACAAAAGAAAUGGGGAGAUAGACCACAUUCAUAGAUAGACUGAACAUCAAAAGAUAUCAGUUCAGUUCACCUGAACAUAAUUUAUGAAUUUAACAUAAUUCUAAUUUUUUUCUGAAGCUAGACAAGUUGACUCAAAAGUUCAAGCAGAAAUAGCCAGGAUAACCUUGAAAAAAGUAAUGUGGAGAAACUAGCUUUACCCAAUAUUAAAAUGUAUUACAAAGUCUUUAUCACUUGAAAAAAAAUGUAGAAUAAGUAAAUUGAUAGAGUGAUAGAACUGAAUAAAAAAUCCAAUAGUAAAAAAAAAAAAAAUCCAAUAGUAGGCUCAAUUACUUAUAGAAAUUUAGUAUAUACCAAAG